rnacentral:misc_RNA from 1 species
GCAGUCUAGAAAACGCAUUGGCAGAUGGUGAUGGAGAGUAGAGUAGUAAGGUGUGGCAUGGCAGGGCAUUAAGAAUAGGAUACUCUUCACUUUCUCAUUGCGGGCUUCUUUGGAUAGAUAGAUCAUUACAUCCUCAGUUCCCCUCUGAUGAACCAAAUUCAUAUAGAUCGCCAUUGGAAUAUUGGUUGCUAACAAGAAGAUGACGGCAAAUGCUACUUUUGAAGGCCAUUUGGUAUAACUGUUUGAAGAACCUUUCCUCAUCACACAUGGAGAAUCAGGUCUUGCCAUAACAGACAAUGCAUAUCCAGAGAAUAUCAAAGCUAUUGGCAGCACAGGCAAGACAAACCCGAAUUCUUUGUGGCCCAAUAAACUGUAAAGAACGAUAACCCAUGCAAUGAGACCAGAAUGCUUCCAACAUUUAGACUUGAUACUG